AAAGUGCAAAGCUACACAGAGAAACCCUGUCUCAAAAAACCAAAAAAGAAAUCAACAACAACAACAAAAAAUCCGGACCGGACCCACAGAUUCGCUGCCUUGACAGUCGAGUAAUAUCGAUCUGAAAAAAAGACAAUUGGUGCACGUUAAUUUGAACUAAAUCUCCUAGGAGCCAAGACUAAAGGAUCAGAGCUCACCAAAGGAGAUCACGAUACCGGGUACGAGUUCCUGAGAACCUGCUGUAAAUAUGCCAGCGUAUUUAAUGUCACCUGGAACCUGCAAGUUAGGUAACAUCCAGAUCUCCUUCCCAAAUGAAGGACCAUGGCACAGGUGUCCUUGGAUGGCCUGGAACUCACCACAUGGAACAGCUCGGUUUUGGACUCAUUGGCAGUUAUAUUGCCUCAGCUUCCAGAGUGAUGGGAUUAUAGGCAUGUGCCACCAUACACAGCUCUGUUCUGUAUUUUGAGACAGGGUCUCACUUUCUGACCCAGCCGAGUUACAGCAAGCCUCUUGCUCUGGCCUCCAGAGUGCUGAGUUUUCAGGUGUAUAUGGCCACAUCCAACUUACUUUUCUGUAUCUUAGGAUGUUUUGGCAUUUCCUAAAGCUUGAAGGCUUCGGGGAGACUUGUGCUUUUAGGGUAGGUCAUUGUUUGGGGCCACAGAAAAAAAACGCUCUCUACCAGGGGCGUGGCUGUCCUGAACAAACCAACCAAUCCUGAGUCUGGAUUCCCAACCACUUCCUGAUUUAAGUCUCACACUCCAGCUUUUCUCUUCCCCUAACUCACCCAGGGCCAGCUAUCGGGCAGCCAGGCACCACUCUUGUACCCAGAGCCACUGAACGAUCCCGGUGUGCCAGUGCUGAGUGGCUGGUUGUGCCCAGGUGGGCCUUUUCCUCAGAAAUGCCAGCCAGGACUCUACCUCAGACUUCCCCCACACUCCGCUUUCGUGCUGUAAGAGCCCGGGUUACUCUGCAACUUCCCACGUAGCCUGCUGACCUUGUGAUCCUCCUGCGGCAGGCUCCUGAGUGCUGAGCUUGUGUGUGCACGUCUGCACACUGAGCAUCCUCCCAUCAACUUGUGUUCUGCUCCUUAGCACAAACUUGGUACUUCCCUCGGCCCUGCCUCGCCAUGGACCACACCCCUCUCUGGGUGAGAUCUGUGAUCAUCUUCCUUCCAAGUUGCCUUCUGAUCCCCUCCUGGGCUUGUAAGAUCUUUACCAACCCACUUUCAACAUCUGCAUCUUUAAGAAGGACAGGUGUAUAGGAAAGGGGCUGUGGGGGCCUAGGAUAGAUGAUAAGCCAAAUGUCUUAACUCACCUUGAGAAAUAGAUGGAAGAAACUCGGAGACUAUUAGGAAUUCUCCUCUUUCCACGGAGAUCUUGUUUGGGGGCCGGCAGCAGACUUGACCAUAAGAGUCAGAGGUCCUGGGACCUGAUGACUUGGUCACUACCUGUCACACCAAUACGCUUCCUAGAGACAAAGAUGAGGGAUUGUUGUUAAGAAAGGAUACUGGGGACCAGAAGAUGGCUCAGUGGAUAAAUCCUGAUAACCCAAAUUCUACCCCCAAGUCCCACAUGUUAGAAGAGAAAGUUGACUCCUCUGAGUUGUCCUCUGAUCGUCGCAUGGGCACUGAGGCCUGCAUGUCUACAUAUGUAAGACAACUGAAUGUGAUGUAGCAUUUAAAGAAGGUCAUAGGACUGAGGAACGAACGCAGCUGGCAGAGGGCUACCCCACUGUGCAGGAAGCUGUGGGUUCCCUCUGCUGAACUACGCAAAGGGCGGCCAGUAGCUCAGUACUGUACUCCUGCACUCCUGAAGGCUGGGUAGCUGGAUCCGGAGUUACUGUCUUCUCUGGGGACAUCGUGAAUUCUCUGCUAUCCUGCAAGGCUACCCGAGAUCAUGAAAUGCCAUUAAAGGCUCUUCC